GCUUCCUUCCUUCCUUCCUUCCUUCCUUCCUUCUCUCUCUCUCUCUCUUCCUUCCUUCCUUCACUCACUCGCUGCUCCCUCGCCGCCUGCCCGCCCGCCUGCCUGCAGCCCAGCCCGGGCGGUACGGCCACAGGGCGGGGGCUGAGCCUAACUUCACCUCCACACCAAACUCCUCCUCAACUCCACUCUGCACCAGCACCGUUACACCAACAUGCACCAGGCAGGCAAGCAAGCAGCUGGAUGGAUGGAUGGAUGGAUGCUUUAACACCAAGCGUUUAUUAUUACACUUUACCGUGCACUAUCUUCACCUAUUCUGUGCUGCUGCUACUGCUACUGCAAGUUGCAUUUGUAGGAGGGUUGGGUGGGAGUUUAUUUUUACGUGCACCACAGCUUCGGACAUACACAAAAAACGCAAAAGGAAGAUAACAAUCUCCAGCGUUCUCCAUGCGUCAGAGAAUCGUGGGAGGGACUCUCUACGUCGACGAUUGGCACAAGCACGGGAAAUUUAAAAUAUUCGAAUAAAUCUCCAAUUUUAGAAAAUGUUACCUUGUUUGAUGAGUUUCACUUGAUGGUUCCUCGUCACCGUGUUACGUCUGUAAUACGUCUGCUUUCAGGUUAUGGAACUACCACUAAAUCUUCAAUCUCCUUUAUGUCACUCGCUCGAAUUUUUGAAUGAGAAGAUGGAUAAGAUGCUACCUGACCCGCUGAGUUACUCGAACACUUUGUAUGUUCGGUAUAUACCAGCAUCUGCAGUUUCUUUCUGCGCUACUCAGUUAAAAUGUUAAAAGUGUGGCGAUUGGUAAAAUCGUGAUACUUUGGCUGUUUUUCUUGCUCUUUUCUUAAUUAAGCUGUAUAAUGUAUCUGUAGAUCAUGACCUCUCUUCAUUUUUAUCAUAAAACGUUAUAGUUAUUGUGAAUCUCCAAAAUUAUAUGUAAGAGCUACAUAAUUUGUGCACGUACGUUAUCAUUAUAUAUUAUGAUGAUGAGGUUUGGAAAAUGUUCUUUCCCAGUCUUUGUCUGGGGAUAAGAUGCAAUCAUAUAUCUCGUGAAAGUAGUUUCUUUCAUGUAACUGUUACAAUGCAAUUUAAGAAUUGUACAACAAUCAAA